UUUGUAUGUCUUUUUUGAAUUUUAUUUUUCGAAGUAAUUCCUUUUUAGUCUAUUUUAUGAAGGCAGCAGUCAGUAACAGGUUGAAAACAAAGUAAAGCCCUUCACUGCAUAUUUGAGAAGUGCUGCUCUAGGAUACAGUGUUGUCCUAGAGAAGUCCUUUGUCAGUCCGAUCUUGCUAUGUUCACUCAGCCAGUUGCUUCCUUAUUCUUCUUCAUCUGAACAUUGAUUUUAAGAAAGGAGGAUGCCGAGAAGCCACUUGAUCAGGUGCCUAAAAUCUUACUACUGCAUGAAUUUAUUUUACUUGAAUCUGUCUUCUAUUGGCUCCAGUGAAAACAGGUGUGUUUUCCUUGGUAGGGGAGCCUGUUGCAUCGCAGCGUUUUCAGAGCACCUCCAGGACUGGCCGCACCUGAUGGACGCAGGCGACCUGAGGAAGGUCCAGAGCCCGGGAGUGUCCAACCCUUACGGCCAACUGGCAGCCUGGACCUGAGUGAGUGACAGAUGUCUCCUGAGCAGGACAGACAGGUAA
rnacentral:lncRNA from 1 species